rfam:TPA: Bos taurus chromosome 19, whole genome shotgun sequence.
UCCCUGGUGGCUCAGACCGUAAAGCGUCUGCCUACAAUGCGGGAGACCCGGGUUCAAUCCCUGGGUUGGGAA